rnacentral:misc_RNA from 1 species
UACGGAGGAUGCAAGCGUUAUCCGGAUUUAUUGGGUUUAAAGGGUGCGUAGGCGGAGCUUUAAGUCAGUGGUGAAAGGUUGCAGCUCAACUGUAAAAUUGCCAUUGAUACUGAAGUUCUUGAGUAUAGUUGAGGUAGGCGGAAUGUGUAAUGUAGCGGUGAAAUGCUUAGAUAUUACACAGAACACCGAUUGCGAAGGCAGCUUACUAAGCUAUCACUGACGCUGAGGCACGAAAGCGUGGGGAGCGAACAGG